UGUGCAUGCAUGAAGGUAGGGUUAAACACGUCUUCCCCUGCUCAAACGUAUUGCUGGUUGCAACUGUGGACUGCAAAUCCUAGAGGCACUUGGAAACAG